UACAGAGGGGGCAAGCGUUGUUCGGAAUUACUGGGCGUAAAGGGCGCGUAGGCGGCCUGCUAAGUCGAACGUGAAAUCCCUGGGCUCAACCUAGGAACUGCGUCCGAUACUGGUUGGCUUGAAUCCGGGAGAGGGAUGUGGAAUUCCAGGUGUAGCGGUGAAAUGCGUAGAUAUCUGGAGGAACACCGGUGGCGAAGGCGACAUCCUGGACCGGUAUUGACGCUGAGGCGCGAAAGCCAGGGGAGCAAACGGG
rnacentral:rRNA from 1 species